CAGAAGCUUUGCGAUCGCUCACCUAAAAUCAUUACAAACAAUUGCUUAAUUCGGUUAGUACUCUGUUGACAUUCCUCAAGCGUAGCCGACGCGGUCUUAUCAUAAACGUAAACGUUUUUACUGUCGAUAGGGAAUAUUUUAGUGGUUCUAGACUUGCAUACAAUACCUCAUUUGUUAGCGGUUUACAAAACUCGUAUAACGAUUAAAAGCCGAUUUGUUUCUCGUAAAUUAAUUAUUUUUGUGCUGUGACUAUAAUUGCUCCGACUUUAUUCUCGUAUACUCGUACAUACAUAAAGUUAAACACAAAAUAAAACACGAAAUUGGAGUGCUAAUAAAUAGAACACAUAAAAAUAAGAACAAAUAAACAAACAGAAAUCAUCAGCAAUCUUCAUGCCACAAAGCUCUGUAAACUUGUGUUUGAUUCGAAAUGGUUAUUCGAAUCGAAAGCCGCAGCGCCAUCUACCGUCAUUGCCUGAAUGCUUUUUACCAGCUGAGAGCAUACACAAAAACAAAAUCAAAAACAGCUGGGAGCGUCAGAAGAUGGAAACCGAGAAGGAGGAAGCUAGGAAUUUGCAGGUGGAAUUCGAAUGGGUGCUGCGCGAGGAAGUGCAUACAAUCAUGAAACAAUUAAAAAAAAUAUUGGUGGAAUGUGCUCACCUUUUCCCUGUGCCGCUUUAUGCAAAUGAGGGAAAAAAGACUGAAAAGUACAUCAUGAAUGUUGCGCCAGAAAAACUCCGGGCCAUGGUUACUCUAACGGGUGAUAGCAUCAUACAUGCAGAUAUAAGUUUUAAGCUGGCACGGCCUCCACACCAACAGCAAAAAACAUUUAUAAAUCAGGACUCGCCGUGGAAGUUACAGCAAGUACAGGAUGCAGCAAACCAUCUUCAGCAAGCAAUCAAUCACAUCGAUGACGUAGAUGCAACCUACCAUUUCAAAACUUCCGACGAAGUAAUGAAUGUAGUUGGUAACAUACUAGAAGCAUUGCAACGAGCAAGAACUAGUUUGGUGAUACCAAAGAAAAAACCAAUUGCUGACCUGAUUAAAAGCCGUAAUAUGAAAUCCCUAGCCCCAAAUUUGUCGGAAGACUUAGCAGUCAGUUUUUAUCUUCAAAGUCACAAAUUAAUUAUGGCGGUUUAUCAAUUAAUUACAGUACAGGGCUCAAUGCGUUUUGAUUCUUGUCAAGCUGAGGCGACUGUGCAAUGGCUGAACGACGUAAUGCCUUUAUUGUGCGCCGGACUGAAGCUCUGCCAACAACUUAAAGACAAGAUCUCUGUGUUCUCAGUAUACAAGGAUUUUACUGUGGAGUCCCGCUCACCAUCAGCACUUUCCUAUUGACACUUAUAAAAAGCAACUGGUGACUGAAUUGGAAACAAAGCUAGGGAAACUUACAGAUCAUCACAAUUUCAAUACUGGAGACUUAGGAGUUAAUUCAAUUUGGCAACAUCAUGUGCAUCCACACGCCAGUUUCUCUAUGAAAUUUGAAGAAAAAAUAUGAAACGUAUGCACAGUACACCACACAAAAGGCCUAAAACAAUAAAAAUGUGCCGAUUUUUUGUUCAAUUAACUAAUAACUACUCAUCAUAAUAUACAUACAUGUGUAUUCAUAUAUUUAGUGUGAGUUUAGCGUUGAUAAGUUUAUAAUUUUCUUAUAUUUUUAGGUUUUUAUUGAAAUAUUAUAUAUAGAUAUAUAUACCGUGACAGUACUUACAAUUUACUCGCCGUCUAGAAUUUUACAAAGAAAAUUAGCAGUUAAUACUACCAUUAAUGCCUUUUCUGCUUAAAAAGCAAUGAAGAAGAAAUAAAAUAUGCCUUUUGAUAUAUUCAGCUUUAGCGGUUAAAAUACACUUGCAUACAUGUGAGUGGGAAGUUCAAAUUGCUGUAAUUAUUGUAAUGAAAAUAUUGAAAAAUAAAUAAAAAAUAAACAAAAUAC
rnacentral:misc_RNA from 1 species